rnacentral:rRNA from 1 species
CUGGUGAAUGGCUCGGCUCGAGAGCCGACGAAGGACGUGCCAAGCUGCGAAAAGCCUGAGGGAGCCGCACGGAGGCUAAGAACUCAGGAUCUCCGAAUGGGAAUCCCUACAACAAUUGCCAACGCGCAAUAGGGAACGUUCCGAAUUGAAACAUCUCAGUAGGAACAGGAACAAAAAGCAAUCCGCGAUGUCGUUAGUAACGGCGAGUAAACGCGACACAGUCCAAACCGAAUCCGCAAGGAAAUGUGGUGUACGGACAAUCUACAACGGAUCACCAACACACGAGAAGUCUCCUGGAACGGAGCGUGAUACAGGGUGACAACCCCGUAUCGUGUGAACGCGAUCCCGAGAUUGCUCCAGAGUAGCGGGGGUUGGAUAUCCCUCGUGAAUCUCGCAGGCAUCGACUGCGAAGACUAAACACUCCUCGAGACCGAUAGCGAACAAGUAGCGCGAGCGAACGCUGAAAAGCACCCCGAAAAGGGCGGUGCAAUAGGGCCUGAAAUCAGUCAGUGAUAGAGCGAC